rnacentral:rRNA from 1 species
GACGUAGGUGGCAAGCGUUGUCCGGAGUUAUUGGGCGUAAAGCGCGCGCAGGCGGCGCGGCAAGUCCAUGGUGAAAGCGCCCGGCUUAACUGGGCGAGGGCCGUGGAGACGGUCGUGCUGGAGGGAAGCAGAGGCGAGUGGAAUUCCGGGUGUAGUGGUGAAAUGCGUAGAGAUCCGGAGGAACACCAGUGGCGAAGGCGGCUCGCUGGGCUUUACCUGACGCUGAGGCGCGAAAGCGUGGGGAG